CAAUAGCGUAUAUUUAAGUUGUUGCAGUUAAAGAGCUCGUAGUUGGAUUUCGGUUAAGAGCGACCGGUCCGCCGUUUGGUGUGCACUGGUUGGUUUUAACUUCCUGUAGAGGACGUGCUCUGGGUUUAACGACCUGGACUCGGAGUCUACGUGGUUACUUUGAAAAAAUUAGAGUGUUCAAAGCGGGCUUACGCUUGAAUAUUUCAGCAUGGAAUAACACUAUAGGACUCCUGUCCUAUUUCGUUGGUCUCGGGACGGGAGUAAUGAUUAAGAGGAACAGUUGGGGGCAUUCGUAUUUCAUUGUCAGAGGUGAAAUUCUUGGAUUUAUGAAAGACGAACUUCUGCGAAAGCAUUUGCCAAGGAUGUUUUCAUUAG
rnacentral:rRNA from 1 species